GCAUUCAUUCAACAUCGUUGGGAUGAGGUUUGAUUGCCUUGCAAAGCAGAGUUUUAAAGAAGGAUGAACUUACUAGUGUUUUUCUUAUUUUUGUGAAUGGUUCUCGAUGACCUUUGUUAGUGGAAGUGCCCAUGGAAGAUGAAGUUAUGGUUUAUAUGAUUGAUAUUGAAAUAGUGGCAUGGUCAUUUUGAUUGGUAAUCCACAAACAUCUCAAUGGAGCCAGUGCAUACUACAUACUCUAGAAGUUCUCGUUUGCUAUUGAUUUAGACUCUUUAUUAUGCUUGUCUCCUAGUAUUUGUACUCUAAUCUAGUUUACUUUGAGCACCUAAGUAACUGCAGCUCAUUUUUUCCUUUUCUUUUUUGGGGUUGAUAUCUCACCUUGUAGUUGAUGAUCAGCUCUUU
rnacentral:misc_RNA from 1 species